AUGUUGGACGUAAGUGCAGAGUCAGACUAUGAUGGAGAUCCUGUAGAAGGUUUGGGUUUCUCUGAGUUAAACAGUGCAGUUUCAGUGCAGGAGGUUUUUGUACAGACACUCAGUGAGUUUCUAUCACUGUGGUACGUUUUCGGUGGAGGAACUAAACUCUCUGUUGGACGUGUCACUCGGCCCUCCCUCUCUCUGCUGCCCCCCUCCAGUGAGGAGCUCCAGCGGGGGAAGGCUACACUGCUGUGUUUGGUCAGUAAGGGCUUUCCCUCAGACUGGACGCUGAGCUGGAAGGUGGACGGUAGCAGGUGGAGCUCAGGUGUGGUGACCAGCCCCGGCGUGCUGCAGCAGGGAAACGGCCUGUACAGCUGGAGCAGCACGCUGACCCUCACUGAGGACCAGUGGAGGAAGACGAGGACAGUGAGCUGUGAGGUCAGUCACGGCUCCAGCACAGCAGUGAAGAAGAGUCUGAACACACAGCAGUGUAUCGAGAACUAA